rnacentral:rRNA from 1 species
UACGUAGGGUGCAAGCGUUGUCCGGAUUUAUUGGGUUUAAAGGGUGCGUAGGCGGUCUAUUAAGUCAGUGGUGAAAUCCAACAGCUCAACUGUUGAUGUGCCAAUGAUACUGAUGGACUUGAGUACAGACGAGGUAGGCGGAAUUGACAGUGUAGCGGUGAAAUGCAUAGAUAUUGUCAAGAACACCGAUUGCGAAGGCAGCUUACUAAAGUAUGAUUGACGCUGAGGCACGAAAGCGUGGGGAUCAAACAGG